AUGCCAGACAGUAAACUAGGGCAUCUUGGACCAGUACAGUGUCCGCAGACAUUCUGGAAAUUGCUUCCCCAGUUGUCAUCUCCACAUCAAAGAAUGAAACAUCCUGUUUUAGAACAGCUUCAAGGUAUAGAGAUCGGAUGCGUAUUGACUGCCUUUCUCCAGUCAUUGUCCAGCAUGACACCUCUGCCACAGGUAGCAAGCAGGUUAAUGUUUAAGGCUGUCAGCCACUCCAUGGAAAUUCUGUUGCGUGUGAAUGCAAUCCAACUAAAAGCAGAGAUUAUGCAACUCAUUCGUACUGCUCGGUAUUUUGGUUCAAGUUAA
rnacentral:rRNA from 1 species